rnacentral:rRNA from 1 species
ACUUAAAUUGAAGAGUUUGAUCAUGGCUCAGAUUGAACGCUGGCGGCAGGCCUAACACAUGCAAGUCGAGCGGUAGCACAGAGAGCUUGCUCUCGGGUGACGAGCGGCGGACGGGUGAGUAAUGUCUGGGAAACUGCCUGAUGGAGGGGGAUAACUACUGGAAACGGUAGCUAAUACCGCAUAACGUCGCAAGACCAAAGUGGGGGACCUUCGGGCCUCAUGCCAUCAGAUGUGCCCAGAUGGGAUUAGCUAGUAGGUGGGGUAACGGCUCACCUAGGCGACGAUCCCUAGCUGGUCUGAGAGGAUGACCAGCCACACUGGAACUGAGACACGGUCCAGACUCCUACGGGAGGCAGCAGUGGGGAAUAUUGCACAAUGGGCGCAAGCCUGAUGCAGCCAUGCCGCGUGUAUGAAGAAGGCCUUCGGGUUGUAAAGUACUUUCAGCGGGGAGGAAGGCAUUGACGUUACCCGCAGAAGAAGCACCGGCUAACUCCGUGCCAGCAGCCGCGGUAAUACGGAGGGUGCAAGCGUUAAUCGGAAUUACUGGGCGUAAAGCGCACGCAGGCGGUCUGUCAAGUCGGAUGUGAAAUCCCCGGGCUCAACCUGGGAACUGCAUUCGAAACUGGCAGGCUAGAGUCUUGUAGAGGGGGGUAGAAUUCCAGGUGUAGCGGUGAAAUGCGUAGAGAUCUGGAGGAAUACCGGUGGCGAAGGCGGCCCCCUGGACAAAGACUGACGCUCAGGUGCGAAAGCGUGGGGAGCAAACAGGAUUAGAUACCCUGGUAGUCCACGCCGUAAACGAUGUCGAUUUGGAGGUUGUGCCCUUGAGGCGUGGCUUCCGGAGCUAACGCGUUAAAUCGACCGCCUGGGGAGUACGGCCGCAAGGUUAAAACUCAAAUGAAUUGACGGGGGCCCGCACAAGCGGUGGAGCAUGUGGUUUAAUUCGAUGCAACGCGAAGAACCUUACCUGGUCUUGACAUCCACAGAACUUAGCAGAGAUGCUUUGGUGCCUUCGGGAACUGUGAGACAGGUGCUGCAUGGCUGUCGUCAGCUCGUGUUGUGAAAUGUUGGGUUAAGUCCCGCAACGAGCGCAACCCUUAUCCUUUGUUGCCAGCGGUCCGGCCGGGAACUCAAAGGAGACUGCCAGUGAUAAACUGGAGGAAGGUGGGGAUGACGUCAAGUCAUCAUGGCCCUUACGACCAGGGCUACACACGUGCUACAAUGGCCGUCGUAGUCCGGAUUGGAGUCUGCAACUCGACUCCAUGAAGUCGGAAUCGCUAGUAAUCGUAGAUCAGAAUGCUACGGUGAAUACGUUCCCGGGCCUUGUACACACCGCCCGUCACACCAUGGGAGUGGGUUGCAAAAGAAGUAGGUAGCUUAACCUUCGGGAGGGCGCUUACCACUUUGUGAUUCAUGACUGGGGUGAAGUCGUAACAAGGUAACCGUAGGGGAACCUGCGGUUGGAUCACCUCCUUACCUUAAAGAA